rnacentral:rRNA from 1 species
AUUGAACGCUGGCGGCAUGCUUUACACAUGCAAGUCGAACGGCAGCACGGGCUUCGGCCUGGUGGCGAGUGGCGAACGGGUGAGUAAUACAUCGGAACGUACCCAGUAGUGGGGGAUAGCCCGGCGAAAGCCGGAUUAAUACCGCAUAUGCCCUGAGGGGGAAAGCGGGGGACCGAAAGGCCUCGCGCUAUUGGAGCGGCCGAUGGCUGAUUAGCUAGUUGGUGGGGUAAAGGCCUACCAAGGCGACGAUCAGUAGCUGGUCUGAGAGGACGACCAGCCACACUGGGAGUGAGACACGGCCCAGACUCCUACGGGAGGCAGCAGUGGGGAAUUUUGGACAAUGGGGGCAACCCUGAUCCAGCAAUGCCGCGUGAGUGAAGAAGGCCUUCGGGUUGUAAAGCUCUUUUGUCAGGGAAGAAACACCGGCUCUAACACGGUCCGGGAAUGACGGUACCUGAAGAAUAAGCACCGGCUAACUACGUGCCAGCAGCCGCGGUAA